AACGAACGCUGGCGGCAUGCCUAACACAUGCAAGUCGAACGAACCCUUCGGGGUUAGUGGCGCACGGGGGCGUAACGCGUGGGAAUCUGCCCUUUGCUUCGGAAUAACAGUUAGAAAUGACUGCUAAUACCGGAUGAUGUCUUCGGACCAAAGAUUUAUCGGUAAGGGAUGAGCCCGCGUAGGAUUAAGUAGUUGGUGGGGUAAAGGCCCACCAAGCCGACGAUCCUUAGCUGGUCUGGGAGGAUGAUCAACCACACUGGGACUGAGACACGGCCCAGACUCCUACGGGAGGCAGCAGUGGGGAAUAUUGGACAAUGGGCGCAAGCCUGAUCCAGCAAUGCCGCGUGAGUGAUGAAGGCCUUCGGGUCGUAAAGCUCUUUUACCAGGGAUGAUAAUGACAGUACCUGGAGAAUAAGCUCCGGCUAACUCCGUGCCAGCCGCCGCGGUAAGAC
rnacentral:rRNA from 1 species